rnacentral:rRNA from 1 species
UACGGAGGGUGCGAGCGUUGUCCGGAAUCACUGGGCGUAAAGGGCGCGUAGGCGGCCUGAUAAGUAGGGGGUGAAAUCCUGCGGCUUAACCGCAGGGCUGCCUUCUAAACUGUCAGGCUAGAGCACGGUAGAGGCAGAUGGAAUUCCUGGUGUAGCGGUGAAAUGCGCAGAUAUCAGGAGGAACACCGGUGGCGAAGGCGGGUCUCUGGGCCGAUAUUGACGCUGAGGAGCGAAAGCGUGGGGAGCGAACAGG